rnacentral:rRNA from 1 species
GGACCCGCACAAGCAGUGGAGUAUGUGGUUUAAUUCGAAGCAACGCGAAGAACCUUACCAGGGCUUGACAUCCCUCGCUAAUCCUAGAGAUAGGAUGUUCCCUUCGGGGACGAGGUGACAGGUGGUGCAUGGUUGUCGUCAGCUCGUGUCGUGAGAUGUUGGGUUAAGUCCCGCAACGAGCGCAACCCUUACGGUUAGUUGCUACGCAAGAGCACUCUAGCCGGACUGCCGUUGACAAAACGGAGGAAGGUGGGGACGACGUCAAAUCAUCAUGCCCCUUAUGUCCUGGGCUACACACGUACUACAAUGGUGAUUAACAGAGGGAAGCAAUACUGCGAAGUGGAGCAAACCCCUAAAAGUCAUCUCAGUUCAGAUUGUAGGCUGAAACCCGCCUGCAUGAAGUCGGAAUUGCUAGUAAUCGCGGAUCAGCAUGCCGCGGUGAAUACGUUCCCGGGUCUU